rnacentral:rRNA from 1 species
AGUGAACGCUGGCGGUAGGCCUAACACAUGCAAGUCGAACGGCAGCACAGUAAGAGCUUGCUCUUACGGGUGGCGAGUGGCGGACGGGUGAGGAAUACAUCGGAAUCUACUUUUUCGGGGGGGAUAACGUAGGGAAACUUACGCUAAUACCGCAUACGACAUACGUGAGAAAGCAGGGGAUCUUCGGACCUUGCGCGAAUGAAUGAGCCGAUGUCGGAUUAGCUAGUUGGCGGGGUAAAGGCCCACCAAGGCGACGAUCCGUAGCAGGUCUGAGAGGAUGAUCAGCCACACUGGAACUGGGACACGGUCCAGACUCCUACGGGAGGCAGCAGUGGGGAAUAUUGGACAAUGGGCGCAAGCCUGAUCCAGCCAUACCGCGUGGGUGAAGAAGGCCUUCGGGUUGUAAAGCCCUUUUGUUGGGAAAGAAAAGCAGCAGGUUAAUACCCCGCUGUUCUGACGGUACCCAAAGAAUAAGCACCGGCUAACUUCGUG